ACAUUCAUUCAUUCAUUCACAAUUAUUUAUUGUUACCACUUUUCCCUUGUUAAACCUCGUUUCAUUUAUAGAUUAAGCCCAGUUUACUUGAAAACAAUUUAACACCUAAUGCUAGUGAAAAAUCCACUAGCUAUGACAUACACCAACCCCUAACCACAUCUGUAAUGUUUUGCAUUAUUUUUCAGUUUUCGCCAUGCAUUACAAGAGGACUGUAUACUGGUACCCAAUAAAAUCAUAUUGUGAAAUAAAUAAUGACGAAGUGUUUGUUGUGAAAGUUGCAAGAAAUGAUAAAAAGGGGAAUUUACUAUUGAAACCUAAUUGCACAAUCUGCUACAAACUUUUAUAACAAAA